AGCGAACGUUUGCGGCGGGCUUAACACAUGCAAGUCGAACGGGCUGUUCCUUCGGGGGCAGUCAGUGGCGCACGGGUGCGUAACACGUAGGUAAUCAACCCUCUGGUUGGGGAUAACACUUCGAAAGGAGUGCUAAUACCCGGUAUGGCGCAGCGGUCUUCGGAUCGCGGCGAGAAAGACCCGCAAGGGUUGCCAGAGGACGAGCCUGCGGCCCAUCAGCUAGUUGGCGAGGUAACGGCUCACCAAGGCGAAGACGGGUAGCUGGUCUGAGAGGAUGAUCAGCCACACUGGAACUGAGACACGGUCCAGACUCCUACGGGAGGCAGCAGUGGGGAAUAUUGCGCAAUGGGCGAAAGCCUGACGCAGCCACGCCGCGUGAGCGAUGAAGGCCUCGGUCGU
rnacentral:rRNA from 1 species